rnacentral:lncRNA from 10 species
UGGAUAUAGACGGCUGACUGAAUGGAAUGUGUAUUGGAGAAAAAAUAACAGAGUCUGGCUAAAGAGAUGAAGAGCUCAUGAGGGCGUGUCUCAAUUUAAACAAGAGUAGCAUUGGCAAUUGUUGUCCUUAGCAGCAGCCGACAAGGCGGAAUUGGAAUGGUGCUGCUCCUGACUACCUCUACUCCACGCUAGGCUUAGGGGCUGGAGUGACCCAAGCCCUCAGGGACCUGCAGCGGCUGAAGUCCUCUCAGCACCUGCAAUAUCCCAGAGGGCAAAGACAGGGCCAAAUACUGGAUUCUGGAUUCUCUUCAUUGUUGUCCCCCUGCAAGUGGAGAGGUAUCCAGGCUGGGCCUUGUCCUAAGAUAUGACGGAACUGAAUUCUUCCAGCAAGCAUGUGAGCUUGGAAGAGAACACCAUGCGCCACACGAGAAUGCAUACUGGCCAACACCCUGUGCAAAGAUCCAGAGAAGCUGUGCUCAGACUCCUGACUCAUGAAAAUAGUGAACUUAUAAAUGUAUAUUGUUUUAAGAUGCUAAAUUUGUGGUGAUGUGUUACAUGGCAAUAGAAAACUAAUAGAGAUAAAACUUGACAUUUGAAGUGCAUCACAUAAUGAAAUUAGUAGAUGAGAAUCUCUCUAGAAACAAGUAAAAUUUUGAGUUAAAAUGAGAGACUGGACAUAUAAUUCCUCCUCCCUCCAAAAUCCCAGGAAAUGAGUAGUUAAAAAAAUUUUUUUUUAAUUUUACAAGAUAAGAACAACAAGCAGAGAUACUUGAAGUAGGGGCUGGUUCUUCUUCACUCCCUUUGUUAUAUAACUGAACUUCCUCACACUUGAGAAGUACAUUUCCCUGCUCCUUGACUUUCAACUCAGCCAUGUGGCUUGCUUUGGCCAAUGAGUUAUAGGUAGACGUGAUGUGACCAGAGGUUUAGAACUCAUCACUGAUCUUGAAACCACCUUUGCAAAAUUAUGACUGAGACAGUGAAACAGAUCUAACUUAGCCAACUCCGUCUUCUUCCAACCUGCAGGCUGUGCUUGUUCAUUCUGGGUGUAGGCUGAACUAACUUUGGGAGAAACUUAGUUUAUAGUUUAAAACAAAGAUGAUAACAGCCCUUUCCCAAAGCAGACCUUCUUCUUGCCUGGGGACUAGAUUGCCUUUGUAGGACUGACAGUAGCCACGAGAUUAGAAAUUAUGAUUUAGGAAUCGUGCAGCUGGAGGCUACAAGAUUCUGACCCUCCCUAAAUUGCUCCUAAGAUCAAUGCUUGAGAUAUUUUGCAGACCCUGCACUUGAUGGCACCACUCAGAUCAAUAAACUGGCUCAUCUGAUCUUGUGGCCCCUUACCCAGGAACUGACUCAUCACAAGAAGACAGCUUCAACUCCCUAUGAUUUCAUCUUUGACCAAUCAGCACUCCUGGCUCACCGGCUUCCCACACACCCACCAAGUUGUUCUUAAAAACUCUGCUCUCCGAAUGCUCGGGGAGACUGAUUUGAGUAAUAAUAAAACUCUGUUCUCCCACACAGCCGGCUCUGUGUGAAUAACUCUUUCUCUAUUGCAAUUCCCCUGUCUUGAUAAAUUGUCUCAGUCUAGGCAGCAGGCAAGGUGAGCCCACUGUGCAGUUACAAUCUUGCCUUUUAUGCUUCUACCAUCACUAUGUGAAGAGCUGCACUGGCUAGCAUUCUGGUCCAAUUGGAGUGGGAAAGACAUUGAGUAGAUCUGGACAACCUGCUGCUUAGAACAUAUCCCAGCUAAGCUCAACAUGGAUUAAAUGACCCCAGGUUAAUGUGCAAACAUCUGAGAGAAAAUAAAUGAUUGUUUUCUUAAGCCACCAAUAUUUUCAGUUGUUAUUCAGUAACAUUGUGAAAAGAGGUGACUAAUACAAGAGAAGAAACAACAGUAAAAAAAAUUUGGACGUGUAAAAGCAGAUGGUAAUGUCCACUUUCAUUUCUGACAGUAUAACAUAUCAAAACUAAUGCCAGUUCUAGAACUGAGACAUAAAACAUCUAAAAUUAAAAAUGUAAUAGGUGGUUUUGAAAGCGGAGAAGAGGAUUAUUGAAUUGGAA